rnacentral:rRNA from 1 species
ACGAAAGUCUGAUGGAGCAACGCCGGGUGAGUGAUGAAGGUUUUCGGAUCGUAAAACUCUGUUGUAAGGGAAGAACCAGUACGUCAGGCAAUGGACGUACCUUGACGGUACCUUAUUAGAAAGCCACGGCUAACUACGUGCCAGCAGCCGCGGUAAUACGUAGGUGGCAAGCGUUGUCCGGAAUUAUUGGGCGUAAAGAGCUUGUAGGCGGUUUGUUGCGUCGGAAGUGAAAACUCAGGGCUUAACCCUGAGCCUGCUUUCGAUACGGGCAGACUUGAGGGAUGUAGGGGUGAACGGAAUUCCUGGUGGAGCGGUGGAAUGCGCAGAUAUCAGGAGGAACACCAGUGGCGAAGGCGGUUCUCUGGACAUUUCCUGACGCUGAGAAGCGAAAGCGUGGGGAGCAAACA